UUCAAACUCAGUCUGAUGUUUCUCUUUUUGUUGCUGGAUUUCCGGUGUUGUAUGUGUUUUGUUAAGCUAGAGAUGAAUUGGUGGUAAUAGAAGAAUGCAUUUCAUCAAAUGGAAGCCACAUUAGGAUGUAUAAUGUGAACAAGGGGUGGAAAGUUCAGAAGGACAUUCUAGCGAAAAGCUUGAGAUGGACCAUUACGGAUACAUAACUAUCACCAGAUCAGCAAUACCUUGUCUAUGCUAGUAUGUCACCAAUGGUUACAUAUUGUUGAUGUUGGAUCUGCUACAACCAAUUCUUCUGUUCUUUUUUAAGUGCCCUCUGAAUUUACCUCUAUUUUUUUCUAAGAGAAUUGGAGUUAUUAGAACGCCUAAUAAAGUAGCCUUUUAGUACUUGUAUGGAUUAUUGUCUCUCAUCUAAAUGCACCCUUUAAUUUGCAGGAAAUUCAUGAUGGUUUGGAUUUUUCUGUUGAUGACAAUAUUGACGAAUUUGGGAUUUUCUCUGUAAAAUAUGCAAAUGAUGGGCGAGAGCUUGUAGCUGCAAGUAGCAAUAAUUCAAUAUAUGUUUGUUUAGGGAUGUGUGCCGUUCUAUUUCACCCUCACAAGGGAGCAGAUAUGGAGGUAAAAAGUCUGGCUGGAUCUCAGCCGCUCAUUAUAUUUGUGCAGAUGGACUAUCAACCAACCAUUUGAUAGGGAUGGCAGUUCUUAUUCCUUGCUGAUAAUUUAAAAAUCAGAUCCUUGACAAUGGGAAAUUCAGUUGUAUCAAGAUUUAAAAGCAAUAAUAAAUUCCAUGACAUAAGAUUAAACAAUUAAAAUUGUUGCCCCUUUGGACAAUUGUUUAGAUUUGGAUCACAAAUGGGGAUAGACGAAACUUGCAAUAUCGUUUUCACAAAUCAGACAUUGCUCGUUGUCCUUA